AUGGAAGGGGACGAAACGGCCGUCGUGGCGGCGGUGGAGGCUGAGGUUGUGGGGUCGGUGAAGACGGAGGAGCACAUCAUGAUCCGGAUCGAGUCCCUGAACAAGAAGUACGGCAGCAACGUGCCGCUGCUCCUGAUGAAUUCCUUCAACACCCAUCAGGACACGUUGAAGAUUGUCGAGAAAUACGCCAAUUCAAACAUCCAAAUCCAUACAUUCAACCAGAGCCAGUAUCCUCGUGUCGUGGCCUUCCAGGGGGAGGACCGUCAAGGAUGGGUGGUAAAACAUUCAUAUGCAUCGCCCGUUAAGGAUGGCUGGCCGACGAGUUCUGAAUAUUGUGACGUUGAAACUCCAAUUAGUGUAUACAGCGAGAUAUAA
rnacentral:rRNA from 1 species